GCAUGUCUUAAGAUAGAGUGUGGUCACUGAGCGGAGGUCAAACUAACAUCACAAACUGUAGUUCAAAGUGUAUUCAUAUUGUAGAGGAGAGGACUUAUGAUAGAUAGGUGGAGAUCAUAUCAUUUCUAAAAUACAUCUAGAGCAUUUGUCAUCCAUUUAGUUCAAGGAAUAGUCAACUUUGGUACUUGUGGUUGGGCGUUCACACCAAGCAAUGUGUGACAUAAAGAAGUGUUCUCUCCCUGACACGCCAGCAGAAGAUAAAUGAUCCCCCUGAUAAUAAUAGUUCUGGUGGACACAUCAGAGCUGUUUUCUUCAACAUACACAAUACUGCAGGAAAAGUAUUCCCACAUGCAACAAGUAAACAACAGAAGGUUAUGCAUAGAAACAGAGACACACUCACUGUGGUCUAAGAACAGUAAGCCUGUCCACACCACCAUCCUGAACCCCCACAUCCACCUGGUCGGGGAGGAAGCUGCUUGCAUCGCCUACAUCCGUAUCACACAGUAUAUCAUCACCAACAGCAUGCUGCGCACCGCCCAGUCUGAGGAGACACACAUCUGGCAUCGCCGUGACGGCAAGUGGCAAAUAGUCCACUUCCACCGCUCUGGAUCACCCUACGCCAUCACCAAGUAAGCCAGUCUGCUGAACUCCAGAGCAGGAGGGUUUGAGUGAGACGUCUCUCUGAGUGACACCGGUGGGUGACCAUCCGGCUGCGUGGGGACACAGAGGG